CCUACGGGGCGCACCAGUAGGGAAUCUUCGGCAAUGGGCGAAAGUCUGACCGAGCAACGCCGCGUGAGUGAAGAAGGUUUUCGGUUCGUAAAACUCUGUUGUUAGAGAAGAACAAGUAGGAGAGUAACUGCUCUUACCUUGACGGUAUCUAACCAGAAAGCCACGGCUAACUACGUGCCAGCAGCCGCGGUAAUACGUAGGUGGCAAGCGUUGUCCGGAUUUAUUGGGCGUAAAGCGAGCGCAGGCGGUCUUUUAAGUCUGAUGUGAAAGCCCUGGGCUCAACCGAGGAAGGUCAUUGGAAACUGGAGGACCUGAGUGCAGAAGAGGAGAGUGGAAUUCCAUGUGUAGCGGUGAAUGCGUAGAUAUAUGGAGGAACACCAGUGGCGAAGGCGACUCUCUGGUCUGUAACUGACGCUGAGGCUCGAAAGCGUGGGGAGCAAACAGGAUUAGAUACCCGCGUAGUC
rnacentral:rRNA from 1 species